CCCACUGCCUUCCUACCCACUUCCCCAUCAAGGGCUGAAUUUGUCCCCAGGCUUGCAGGGGCUGAGUAAGUCUGCUGUGAAAAGUGAUAUUUGUAUGUUUUAUCACUUUUCACAGCAGGAGACUUACUAGCUAGCAAGUCUAAAAAAAGCAUCC